rnacentral:rRNA from 1 species
UACGGGGGGGGCAAGCGGUGUUCGGAAUUACUGGGCGUAAAGGGCUCGUAGGCGGCCAACUAAGUCAGACGUGAAAUCCCCAGGCUCAACCUGGGAACUGCGUCUGAUACUGGAUGGCUUGAAUUCGGGAGAGGGAUGCAGAAUUCCAGGUGUAGCGGUGAAAUGCGUAGAUAUCUGGAGGAAUACCGGUGGCGAAGGCGGCAUCCUGGACCGACAUUGACGCUGAUGAGCGAAAGCUAGGGGAGCAAACGGG